CCCAUUUUUACGAAGACCCCUUCGGUUGAGAAUCAGAAAAAAAAGAUAGUAGAAAGAAGGCGCCAAUGGAGAAGAUCAGAGAUGUUACGUUUGCAGAACAGCUAUUGUUGGAAGGUGAUGGUAUCUGUAUAUGGUUCUGAUGGUGAAUCACUCUAAUAUUCUUUGCAGGUGUAGUUAGUGUAAGAUCUUAACUAAUUCUCCUUGUAAAUUUACCGUCAAGAUCUACCUUGUUCGGGAGUAUGUGCUCUCAACAAGCACGUGUACCAGAGAUCAAAGUGGCUUGAUUGCUGAAAUGUUUUUGGUCUACAUUAGGCUCAAACUGGAUUACCUAUACAACUUUAAUGUCUUAAAUGUGGUGAAUGUAUAAUUCUGCAAUUUGAAAAAUAUUUUUUUUGUUUCCAGUUUGUAACAUCUAUCUGCUGAAGUCUGUGGUGUUAGCCAACCGAGGUAAAGCAUUUGCGCAAUGAAGAUCCUGAUGGUGCAUUUGUACUUUGUUAACAAAUUAUGGGUUCUCAAAUCAUACAUGGUCACUAUGAGAAUCCUACUUAAAAAUAAAUAGACUGGUAAACUUCGUCCCAUAAUUUAUUUGUCACAGUGAGGUCUCUUACGUGAAGAAUGAAGAGCCUCUUACCAUUAAUAUUAGACUGACUCAUAGGAAAAAUAGCUACUUAUUAUU